AAGCCUGACGCAGCGACGCCGCGUGGGGGAAGAAGGUUUUCGGAUUGUAAACCCCUUUUGGGAGGAAAGAUGGGGUGGUUCGCCACCCGGACGGUACCUCCAGAAAAAGCCACGGCUAACUUCGUGCCAGCAGCCGCGGUAAUACNAAGGUGGCGAGCGUUGUUCGGAUUUACUGGGCGUAAAGAGCACGUANGCGGUUUGGUAASCCCCUUGGGAAAGCUACGGGCUUAACCCGUAAAGGUCGAGGGGGACUGCUAGGCUAGAGGGCGGGAGAGGAGCGCGGAAUUUCCGGUGUAGCGGUGAAAUGCGNANAUAUCGGGAARAAGGCCGGUGGCGAASGCGGCGCUCUGGAACGUCUCUGACGCUGAGGUGCGAAAGCGUGGGGAGCAAACNGGAUUACAUACCCUGGUAGUCCACGCCGUAAACGAUGGGUACUAAGUGUCGGCAGGUUACUGUCGGUGCCGCAGUUAACGCAGUAAGUACCCCGCCUGGGGAGUACGGCCGCAAGGUUGAAACUCAAAUGA
rnacentral:rRNA from 1 species